rnacentral:rRNA from 1 species
GGCCUGCCUAUCAGCUUUUGUGGGUUAAUGCCUACCCAGGCGACCGACGGGUAGCCGGCCAGAGAGGGCGACCGGCCACACUGGGACUGAGAUACGGCCCAGACUCCUACGGGAGGCAACAGUGGGGAAUAUUGCGCAAUGGGCGAAAGCCUGACGCAGCAACUGCCGCGUGCGGGAUGACGGCCUUCGGGUUGUAAACCGCUUUCAGCAGGGACGAAGGUUUUCUGACGGUACCUGCAGAAGAAGCACCGGCCAAACUACGUGCCAGCAGACCUGCGGUAAUACGUAGGGUGCGAGCGUUGUCCGGAAUUAUUGGGCGUAAAGAGCUUGUAGGCGGUUUGUCACGUCGGAAGUGAAAACUCAGGGCUCAACCCUGAGCCGGCUUCCGAUACGGGCAGACUAGAGGAAGGUAGGGGAGAAUGGAACUCCUGGUGGAGCGGUGGAAUGCGCAGAUAUCGGGAAGAACACCGGUGGCGAAGGCGGUUCUCUGGACCUUUCCUGACGCUGAGAAGCGAAAGCGUGGGGAGCAAACAGGCUUAGAUACCCUGGUAGUCCACGCCGUAAACGGUGGGCACUAGGUGUGGGACUCAUUCCACGAGUUCCGUGCCGUAGCUAACGCAUUAAGUGCCCCGCCUGGGGAGUACGG